AGAUUAAGUUAUUAAGGGCGCACGGUGGAUGCCUUGGCACUAGAAGCCGAUGAAGGACGUUACUAACGACGAUAUGCUUUGGGGAGCUGUAAGUAAGCGUUGAUCCAGAGAUUUCCGAAUGGGGAAACCCAGCAUGAGUUAUGUCAUGUUAUCGAUAUGUGAAUACAUAGCAUAUCAGAAGGCAGACCCGGAGAACUGAAACAUCUUAGUACCCGGAGGAAGAGAAAGAAAAAUCGAUUCCCUGAGUAGCGGCGAGCGAAACGGGAAGAGCCCAAACCAACAAGCUUGCUUGUUGGGGUUGUAGGACACUCUAUACGGAGUUACAAAAGUAUAUAUUAGACGAAUCAUCUGGAAAGUUGAAUCAAAGAAGGUAAUAAUCCUGUAGUCGAAAAUAUAUACUCUCUUGAGUGGAUCCUGAGUACGACGGAGCACGUGAAAUUCCGUCGGAAUCUGGGAGGACCAUCUCCUAAGGCUAAAUACUCUCUAGUGACCGAUAGUGAACCAGUACCGUGAGGGAAAGGUGAAAAGUACCCCGGAAGGGGAGUGAAAGAGAACUUGAAACCGUGUGCUUACAAGUAGUCAGAGCCCGUUAAUGGGUGAUGGCGUGCCUUUUGUAGAAUGAACCGGCGAGUUACGAUUUGAUGCAAGGUUAAGCAGCUAAUGUGGAGCCGUAGCGAAAGCGAGUCUGAAUAGGGCGUUUAGUAUUUGGUCGUAGACCCGAAACCAGGUGAUCUACCCUUGGUCAGGUUGAAGUUCAGGUAACACUGAAUGGAGGACCGAACCGACUUACGUUGAAAAGUGAGCGGAUGAACUGAGGGUAGCGGAGAAAUUCCAAUCGAACUUGGAGAUAGCUGGUUCUCUCCGAAAUAGCUUUAGGGCUAGCCUCAAGUGAUGAUUAUUGGAGGUAGAGCACUGUUUGGACGAGGGGCCCUUCUCGGGUUACCGAAUUCAGACAAACUCCGAAUGCCAAUCAAUUUAACUUGGGAGUCAGAACAUGGGUGAUAAGGUCCGUGUUCGAAAGGGAAACAGCCCAGACCACCAGCUAAGGUCCCAAAAUAUAUGUUAAGUGGAAAAGGAUGUGGCGUUGCCCAGACAACUAGGAUGUUGGCUUAGAAGCAGCCAUCAUUUAAAGAGUGCGUAAUAGCUCACUAGUCGAGUGACACUGCGCCGAAAAUGUACCGGGGCUAAACAUAUUACCGAAGCUGUGGAUUGUCCGUAGGACAAUGGUAGGAGAGCGUUCUAAGGGCGUCGAAGCAUGAUCGCAAGGACAUGUGGAGCGCUUAGAAGUGAGAAUGCCGGUGUGAGUAGCGAAAGACGGGUGAGAAUCCCGUCCACCGAUUGACUAAGGUUUCCAGAGGAAGGCUCGUCCGCUCUGGGUUAGUCGGGUCCUAAGCUGAGGCCGACAGGCGUAGGCGAUGGAUAACAGGUUGAUAUUCCUGUACCACCUAGUAUCGUUUUAAUCGAUGGGGGGACGCAGUAGGAUAGGCGAAGCGUGCUAUUGGAUUGCACGUCCAAGCAGUAAGACUGAGUGUUAGGCAAAUCCGGCACUCAUAAGGUCAAGCUGUGAUGGGGAGAGGAAAUUGUUUCCUCGAGUCGUUGAUUUCACACUGCCAAGAAAAGCCUCUAGAUAGAUAACAGGUGCCCGUACCGCAAACCGACACAGGUAGUCAAGAUGAGAAUUCUAAGGUGAGCGAGCGAACUCUCGUUAAGGAACUCGGCAAAAUGACCCCGUAACUUCGGGAGAAGGGGUGCUCUUUAGGGUUAACGCCCAGAAGAGCCGCAGUGAAUAGGCCCAAGCGACUGUUUAUCAAAAACACAGGUCUCUGCUAAACCGUAAGGUGAUGUAUAGGGGCUGACGCCUGCCCGGUGCUGGAAGGUUAAGAGGAGUAGUUAGCUUCUGCGAAGCUACGAAUCGAAGCCCCAGUAAACGGCGGCCGUAACUAUAACGGUCCUAAGGUAGCGAAAUUCCUUGUCGGGUAAGUUCCGACCCGCACGAAAGGCGUAACGAUUUGGGCACUGUCUCAACGAGAGACUCGGUGAAAUCAUAGUACCUGUGAAGAUGCAGGUUACCCGCGACAGGACGGAAAGACCCCGUGGAGCUUUACUGUAGCCUGAUAUUGAAAUUCGGCACAGCUUGUACAGGAUAGGUAGGAGCCUUUGAAACGUGAGCGCUAGCUUACGUGGAGGCAUUGGUGGGAUACUACCCUAGCUGUGUUGGCUUUCUAACCCGCACCACUUAUCGUGGUGGGAGACAGUGUCAGG
rnacentral:rRNA from 1 species